UACGAAGGGGGCUAGCGUUGCUCGGAUUGACUGGGCGUAAAGGGCGCGUAGGCGGUUCGUACAGUCAGACGUGAAAUUCCUGGGCUCAACCUGGGGGCUGCGUUUGAUACGUGCGGACUUGAGUGCGGAAGAGGGUCGUGGAAUUCCCAGUGUAGAGGUGAAAUUCGUAGAUAUUGGGAAGAACACCGGUGGCGAAGGCGCUCAUCUGGCCCAAUACUGACGCUGAUGCGCGAAAGCUAGGGGAGCAAACGGG
rnacentral:rRNA from 1 species